rnacentral:lncRNA from 13 species
AUGUGGAGAAGGCAAUGGAGGCCAGGCGAGAGCAGUGGCCAGAAGAGAGUGAAGAACAGCAAUAACCUUGAGGAACGCUGGAUCGGUAAGGGAAGAACUCCUCAAGUGAGCAUGCGCACAACCUCAGUGACCACGCCCUGCGCGCGGCCCCGCCCAGGUGUGGCAGGCCACCGUGCGCGCGCUCAGCCCACCCCAAGGGAGGAAUCAGGGGACCAGGGAAGCAACAAGGACCCAAGUCAGCGGUUACGCCCGGCACCAGCAUCUCUCCAGCUGCCUGCUGGGCCCUCUUCCAAGCAUGCUUUAUUUCCUUUUGUUCCUACUCCAAAACUUUUUAAUAAACUUUUACUCCUGCUCUAAAACUUGCCUCGAGCACGCUCGAUCUCUCUGUCUCUGCCUGAUGCCCCCCAGUUGAACUCUUUCUUCUAGGGAAACCGAGGAAGCAAAACUGAGAUUGCUGCGGACCCAGCGGUUGCCGUUGGGUCUGACGCGCUGUGGCUGUGACUUGGUUACGUUCACUAGCGGUGAGCCCCUCGAUGCCUGGCCUUCCUUGGCUGGAGGUGUUCAACCCCCGACAUGCAGUUUUCUUCUCCCUCUUGCCCCCCUGCUCACUAACCAACCUCGGAACGAUUCCUCUCCGCCGCAGUGGCUCUGCUCCCAGGCUGAUCUCCCCGCCUACCCCGACAGGUGUGUUGUGGGGGUGGGUAGGAUUUUGGAGACUGCACCAAGUCGACCUGAGACGCUAAUGGCGCUGCCGCACAGGAGUCUGGGGACAGUGGUGGGGCUAAAGGCUAAGACUGUGCCGUGUCUGGGGGUUCCUCUGCUUUUUCAACUAAAAUCAGCUCUUUCCCAAAACCCUGCACUGCCUCUGCCCCUGUUUUGUGUGUGUGUGUUCUGAAACGGCCUUGCGCACCCACCAGACCAUCUGCCUCAGGGGCAAGUCUGCCUUUUCCCUGGUUUCACUAUGCGACACGACUUCCUUCUCUGCCUUAAAUACACACAUUCCCUCUUAUCCUUGCACCCACAGCUCUUGCUGCAUUCGCUCGGCAGCAAAAACACAGGCUCCCUUGUGGAUGUCCCCUGAGAUUUAUACUUUUUCACCCCACCAGCUUGGAUGACCUCCAGCUUUGCCCGGCUCCUGGCA